AUUGAACGCUGGCGGCAGGCCUAACACAUGCAAGUCGAGCGGGGUUUUCGGACCUAGCGGCGGACGGGUGAGUAAUGCGUAGGAAGCUACCCGAUAGAGGGGGAUACCAGUUGGAAACGACUGUUAAUACCGCAUAAUGUCUACGGACCAAAGUGUGGGACCUUCGGGCCACAUGCUAUCGGAUGCGCCUACGUGGGAUUAGCUAGUUGGUGAGGUAAUGGCUCACCAAGGCGACGAUCCCUAGCUGGUUUGAGAGGAUGAUCAGCCACACUGGAACUGAGACACGGUCCAGACUCCUACGGGGGGCAGCAGUGGGGAAUAUUGGACAAUGGGCGCAAGCCUGAUCCAGCCAUGCCGCGUGUGUGAAGAAGGCCUUCGGGUUGUAAAGCACUUUCAGUAGGGAGGAAGCGUUGUGUGUUAAUAGUACACAGCGUUGACGUUACCUACAGAAGAAGCAUCGGCUAACUCUGUGCCAGCCGCCGCAGUAAUAC
rnacentral:rRNA from 1 species